rnacentral:rRNA from 1 species
GACGAACGCUGGCGGCGUGUCUAAUACAUGCAAGUAGAACGCUGAAGGAGGAGCUUGCUCUUCUGGAUGAGUUGCGAACGGGUGAGUAACGCGUAGGUAACCUGCCUGGUAGCGGGGGAUAACUAUUGGAAACGAUAGCUAAUACCGCAUAAGAGUAGAUGUUGCAUGACAUUUACUUAAAAGGUGCAAUUGCAUCACUACCAGAUGGACCUGCGUUGUAUUAGCUAGUUGGUGGGGUAACGGCUUACCAAGGCGACGAUACAUAGCCGACCUGAGAGGGUGAUCGGCCACACUGGGACUGAGACACGGCCCAGACUCCUACGGGAGGCAGCAGUAGGGAAUCUUCGGCAAUGGACGGAAGUCUGACCGAGCAACGCCGCGUGAGUGAAGAAGGUUUUCGGAUCGUAAAGCUCUGUUGUAAGAGAAGAACGAGUGUGAGAGUGGAAAGUUCACACUGUGACGGUAUCUUACCAGAAAGGGACGGCUAACUACGUG